CACGCCGCCAGGAUGGGAGGGGAAUGAAGCCACGACCCAGCAGAAAAAAACCCAAAAACAAACAAUGGGAAGAGACAGAACCCAGCCUGAAGAGUCCAGCGCAGUUCCUCACCGCCUGGGUGCGAAGGGCCCUGGGGCUGUUUGUUUAGAAUGUGAGUUUUUUAUCCCCUCAGCAGCAUAAACAGCACGCAGAGCCGGCUGCAGGGGCAGGAGACAGUGUCUGUACUGCCCAGGGCAGGGCAGGAUGCUGAGGGGCGUAGGAGGUGUGGGGAGGAAGCACAGGCAAGAGGCAGCAAAUGUUCUGAAACCACAGACAACGUUUUUGAGAAAAGUUAAGCAGUUUAUUCAACAGGAUGAGUCCACACCCAACCAGUGGCUUCAUCUACAUGGCAUCACCAGCACACACGAGGACCCACUCAGACACUCUAGCUGACGGCAUCUCACCAUACGUUACAGAGACAACACCAGAGGAGGAAGAGGAGGAGGAGGAUGGCCAGGACAGCGGGCAGUCUCCCACGGCCUCCCGGCACAACCAGCCCCGGCCCCCCCAGACCCCGCAGCCCAGCCACGCAAAGCAAAUCAGACUCGGGACAUCUACUGCCGCCCCGCGAGAACCACAACACUGCUAGGCAAAUUACACACCCGGGACACAACAACCACCUACCAGGGACUUCAGCCUAAGGAACAAAGUGCAGUCAUGGCCGCCCGGGCCCGCGCUCCAGCGCUGAGGGCCUGUCCAGGGCAGGGGGGGGUGCCACCGCGCUCCCCUCACGGCAGGCCAUGGCUGGCAUGGGGCAGGGCCGCAGUGCCACCGCGCUCCCCUCACGGCAGGCCAUGGCCAUGGCUGGGCUGGACACUGCAGGGACACAGUGCCACCGUGCUCCCCUCAUGGCAGGGCC